rnacentral:rRNA from 1 species
UACAGAGGGUGCAAGCGUUAAUCGGAAUUACUGGGCGUAAAGCGCGCGUAGGCGGUUGUGUAAGUUGGAUGUGAAAUCCCCGGGCUUAACCUGGGAAUGGCAUUCAAAACUGCACGGCUAGAGUACGGGAGAGGGGGGUAGAAUUCCAGGUGUAGCGGUGAAAUGCGUAGAGAUCUGGAGGAAUACCGAUGGCGAAGGCAGCCCCCUGGCCUGAUACUGACGCUGAGGUGCGAAAGCAUGGGGAGCAAACAGG